rnacentral:rRNA from 1 species
AACGAACGCUGGCGGCAUGCCUAACACAUGCAAGUCGAACGAGACCUUCGGGUCUAGUGGCGCACGGGUGCGUAACGCGUGGGAACCUGCCCUUAGGUUCGGAAUAACUCUUCGAAAGGGGUGCUAAUACCGGAUAAUGUCUUCGGACCAAAGAUUUAUCGCCCUUGGAUGGGCCCGCGUUGUAUUAGCUAGUUGGUAGGGUAAAAGCCUACCAAGGCGACGAUCCAUAGCUGGUCUGAGAGGAUGAUCAGCCACACUGGGACUGAGACACGGCCCAGACUCCUACGGGAGGCAGCAGUGGGGAAUAUUGGACAAUGGGCGAAAGCCUGAUCCAGCAAGGCCGCGUGAGUGAUGAAGGCCUUAGGGUUGUAAAGCUCUUUUACACGGGAUGAUAAUGACAGUACCGGGAGAAUAAGCUCCGGCUAACUCCGUG